UUUGCACACUCACUGCCGGCACCCACGCCCAUAAAUUCAAAUGUGAUCUGUAUGCUGGUUGAUCCCAGUGCUGUUCUCUCUCCUCAUCUCAGACCCUUAAAGGUAAGUGUCCACUAGCUUGAUUCACUUAGAUCACUCAAAGGAGUUUGUUAAAAAUAGCAUUUUCCAUUUUCGCACCUCAACCUAAUUCACAUCAUCCACACAGUCGCGUGAAACAAAGCAUGGAGGUGGAGAGGGUGGCCCCGCCUUGAGCUCCACCCCCUCUCAGUCCUGUGUCCGUCAGGCCUAUUGAUUUUACUUCCUAAAUGUAUUUUGGAACUAUAAACUUCUCCUUACUCCCACUUCCGCUUUCCUUCUACCUUCUGGAUCCAAAUGAAGUGGUGACUGAUAUCUCCUGAGCUUCGCAACCAGGUGGCAUUCACCUCCGUGGAGUCAUCUGUGGUGGUGUUACUGGCCAGUUACCAGGCAGGAUGUGCAGAAUCACUUGCCUCCGUGUUGGAAAUCUGAAAACCAGCUGAAAGCUGAGGAUUGAGACAUCCUUCUGUUACCUCAGGUGAUAGCAGUGUAUUGUCAGGAUGUCCUCUGAGUUUGAAAGAAGAGCCAGGAAACUGAGUAAGUCUGCAGAGUCCUGGAUCAGCGAGGGAGCCCGGGCCAGCUGUCAUCAGAACACUUCAGCAGCCUUAUGAAGAGAGGUCUGUGUUCCGAGGAAAUGAGCUAUCCUGCCAACAGCCAACAAGGGACAUGUGCCAACAGCCCUGAGAGUGACCCAUCUUGGAAGUGGAUUCUCCAGCCUGGUCAAGACUUCAGAUCAUUACAGCCCCGGCCAACAUCUUGACUGCAUAAAAUUUUCUCUGUUGGAACUACCAACUAAGUUCCAUCCAAAUUCCUGACCACAGAAAUUGUGAGAUAAUACAUAUUUGUUGUUUUUCAAAUAGCUAUGUUUUAGAGUAACUCACUACACAGCACCAGAUGCCCAAAACCCUUUUAGAAGAAAUAUAAUUUGAAUUGGUUCCUGAAGGACCAAUAAGAGAAUUUAUUUUCAUUAUCUUUUUUAAUAAAGAAUUUGGAGGAAAGGCAUUCUAAGCAUAAUGGUUGGCAAAAGUGAAGUCACAGAAAAGUCCCCAUGUGUUCAGGAAUAAUUUUCAAAAAUUGAAUGGGUUUAAUGAGAGAAUAUUGUAGAAUGCUGUGCACGGUAGGGGGCUGCAUAAAUUGAGACUAAAGCUUGUGAAGGGCCUUUUGCAAUGCAAAGGAAGUUUAGAUUUUGUCUUUAUGGUUGUGCAGAAGGAACAACAGGUUUUAAUUUAGUAUGGCCCCAUGAUACAGGUUUUGGAGAGCAAUAGACCUUAAGGUAUAGCUGGAUGAGUAGGUGUUCUGAAAAGAAUGCUCUCAUGAGAGGUGAUGAGUUGAACUUACUGCUCCAGUAGUAGACAUAGAGGAAAAGUAUAAUUUAAGAUGCUUUUGGGGUUGAAUCAAUCGGAUUUAAAGCCUGAGAGUUAUAUUACACAACUGAAUCAAAUAAAGUUGGUUAUAUAUUUCUGACAGCUAUUGAUACUACACAGCAUGUGAUACGCAUGCAUUAAUUUAUUUCAAUGACAGGAUGAAAUUUGUGAAGAGAAGAAAAUAGGGAAGAUACAAAACUUUAUACUUAGAUAAUACUAUUAAAUUCUACCUUUGCAUUAAAACCCCAGGAAGCCAUCAGUAAGAGAUGUUCAGCGUAAUCCCAGCAGUGCUAUUCAGUAUUGGGAGACAUUCUAUUACCCAGAAUGUGAGAGUCGAGUGAGAAAGUUGGAACAAGUUGUUCUGCUCUGAGAUAACAGAAGUGUGAAGGAGAAUGCUCAGGAAACAUUUGGUUCAAUAUCCGUCAGGAACAUUGAGACUGUUCUGCUGGUUAUUUUGUUUUUAUUUGUUCUCUCAGGAGCCCACCUUUAAAAAAUCUUACAGAAAGAAAUAUGUUUCUCUUUAUUUCAGGAGUUCCAAAUGGGGGAUGGUGUGGGGAUGGAGAAGGAUCACUGAGGCCCCUACACACUGAGCCCCUCCUCCCCAUGACCCCCUAGGUCCUAAGCCUCUAAGAGCACACCAGCUCUGGAGAGGAGACGGGUGGGGGAAUGUGAGCUGGUUUGAAAAUUCUGCCUUGGUGAUUGGGGUUGUCUGUGGCUCAGUCGGUUAGGUUAAGCAUCCAUCUUCGGCUCAGGUCAUGAUCUCACGGC